CUCUCUGUCUCUCUCCCCUCUCUUCUCUGUCUCUGUCACACUCUCGGUCUCUGUCUCCUCUCCCUUUGUCUCUGUCUCUGUCUCCUCUCCCUCCGUUUCUCUCUGUGUCUCUGUCUCUCAGUCUCUUUUUCCUUGUGUCUCCCUCCCCACUUAUCUAUGUGUGUUUUAAAAGGAACUUCCCAAAGUCCAGGCUAGGAGCCCCUGCCCUAGUGAGCUCAUGGAAAAGCAGCAUCUGGGACUUGUGAAUUCCAGUCUCGAUGCCGUCCUUGAACAAAUUCCUUGAAGAGAACCAGGACAUCAGGAGUGACGCCAGGACAUGCAAGUGAAUUGGAUGGAAAUGGGUGACGCUGGGCAGGGGCACCUGCCUCACUUUCCCCCGCAGAGCCCUCUGGGUCCAGUGGCCUGAGGUAGAUCAGGACGACUGGAGCCGGCCCUGGAUGCAGAGGGAGACCUGGGCCUUUGGAUCUGAGGUCUUUCCCAGGUCUUGGUUUGACUGAGUACCCAUUCAGGCCAGGUAGCAAUUGAGGCAAAGAAUCUCCUUCGAAGCUUAGUCCCACUAAGUGUCGGGGACUUUCCCUCAGGGCAUCAAAACAUGGGGGAGAGAAUCUGAGAGGGUUUGAACUUCUUUUACUUCUCUAUGACUGAAUCUUUUAGUCUCUCUGAUCUCAGUUUCUUUAUUUGUAAAGUGGCUCUAAGACUCAUUCCAGCUUUAAGUCUAUAAUCCAGUGUUUUUUUUCAGAAUCAUUUCCAACAUGAGCUAGGUUUAGCAACUUAUUAGGAAAAAUAAAAUUUUUUAAAAAGAA